rnacentral:lncRNA from 1 species
CUUUGUGGGGUUAAUUCGAACAUUUCUCCUCCCCCCCCCCCUCUUGCUCUGUUACUUGUUAACUUUACUGAGAUACCUAUACCUGAAAUAUUUGACAUAUAAAGUGUGUAAAUAAUAACAUUGCAGUGGAAAUCAAAUCAUGAGCGGAUGUUCUUCUCACAGAAGUGCUUCUCCGUUUCCAACAAGUGGCUGAGAAAAUGAUGAAAUUUACGCCGAAAAUAACUGAAAUCUGUGUUGUUUUUACCUUUACUGCGAUACCUACCAGAAAUAUUUGACUAAACGCGUGUGACGAAACGUGGAAACAAAAAUCAAAUCGGUCCGAAUUAAAUUACAACGAAAAUCACAUAGUACGUAGAGUUUCUUCUCGCAGCACGGCACUCUGUUUCUACAGGUAGCUACAGGAAAAUUACGAAAAUUACACCGAAAAUCGACGCGGCAUAUAAGUGAAGUGACGAAACAUAGUUUACACGGCUAAAAAAUCGCAUCGUUAGUGAGAGAAAUAAUACUUGAUAUCAGUGUUAUUUUUCUUACCUACAAAGUAAAAAAAAUUCGAUUGCGGAAGAACGAAAUUAAAGAGACGAAAAUUACGGUAAAAAGAUUAACAGCGGCAGCGAAGGAAAUAAAUAUUUGAAAAUCAUGCCAUGCAAAAAUUUGCUAAGGAAAAAUGACCGAAAUAAUGUCAACAAAAAAAUUUCAAAUUAUAAUUGGCAGGCACUUCCGGUACAAUACUACACUGCUUAAAAAAGUUGGAAAACGAAUUUUGGUAAACGGUGGGGAAAAUGACGGCAGAAAAAAAGAUUAAAAAAAAAACGGAAAUUAAGGAAUAACUCCAUUAUAUUGAUGUAAAGAAAAUGACUGAAUUUCAAUUAAAGCAGCAUGUUAAAGGCAUUCCCCCAAGUUCUAGGCCUACACCACAUCUGUUUAGUAUUAUUCGUCAGCGAAAAUAACUGCAAUUUGUGACAUUGUCAAGAAGUUUGCCUUCAAAAAGGCCAGAAAUAGCCAGGUUAUGCAUGUGAAAAGGUACAACUUAAGUGUAAUCAACAAAGCGAUAGGGAAUAUGGCUGUAUAAGACAUGCAACAUAUUUAAUUAACUAUGCAACAUUUCUUCGUGUUUUUGUAAAGGUUUAAACUUAAUCUACAUCAUUUAUGUGAGUCCGAUUUGGAAAGAUCGGCAGGGAUACAUGUUUUCAUCAAGUAUAUAUUUCUCCUUUGAGUUACUCAUUUGGUUGUCUUACUUUGACCUUUAAUAACGUAUAAGGCCGACAGUGCUGUUUUAUUGAAGGGGAGAACACGAAAACCAUAUUAACGGAAAAAAAGCGUUGCAGUAGUUAAAAGAGAUCGGUCUAAUAUAGACGUUCACGAUCAAAUCUUUGUGGGCUACGAGUAUACCGUACUUAACGUAAAUUUCAAAAGAAAGCAUUUCAACAUAUGCGACAGGUUUAGAGUAACAUAGAAAACUACUAUUUCCCUGUUGAUUUUAGCCUACGUGUAACCCUCCUUCCGUAUAGUACUAUGUUCAAUGUAAGUCCGAUUUGGAAGGGAUUGGCAAGGAUUAAGAUGGCAUUUUGUCAUCUUAAUGUCACGUGAAUUUCUUUUAAUGGUUGUUUAUAGUGUGCGAGUUAUAUGCAGUUUCCAAAGCAACCUGCCAUUAUCAGCGUCGGCACUAUGACAAAGUAAUCGUGUCUGUUUUAAAAAGGAAAUAAUGGAAACAUGGGUAGAAUCGUUUGGUUUCCAUUGGGUCCUACCCAUGACCUGGUUAUAGGUAGGCUUAGACAUAAUUAUUGGCUACAUUUGCAAUGUUUCACUUCAGUAGCAAAUGGGCUAGGCCCAGUGUUUUCGUACCCCUGUCCACUUAGGAAAGAGUUGCAGCUUUCAUCAAAGAAACUUCCUGAUGAUCUAAAAAUUGAGACAGACUGGAUGAGCUAGGCUGCUUUGUCUGGACGAAAAUGAACCCUCCAAGGCUCCAACAGCCUCAUCACACAGAAACUCGAGGAACCGGAAGCAGGAAGGAGGACCGACGGAUGACCUGCUUGCUGGGCUUCCCAUUACUGAUUCUUGAAAGAAAUGAGGACCACUGACUGAUGAGGGAAUUGUCUUACUGAGAUGAGGAUGAGCCUGCCUCAAGCCAUCGUAAGUUGGGAGGACCGACGAUGGACUGACACCGCCUGCUGGGCUGGCCAUUACUGAUUCUUGAGGACAUGAAGACCACCAAGCUUGGACGAGACUGGACAAUGACGGAACUGCUCUACUGGACAAGGAUGCCCUCAUCGGAAACUUGAGUUAAAAAAACUAGCUUGCACAAUAUGAAAUGAUAAAUCAGACUGCAUAAUGCAACAUCAUUAAUGUUAUACACUAAGGCAACAACACUAAUAUAAAAUGAAAAGUAAUUUUGAUUCCAUUAAAUUAUUUAUGCCUCUAAAAUAAUCUUAAACCGGAUACUGCAACAGACAGUUAACAAUGGACAAUAAUUGAAACUUGCUGAAAAAUUAUUGUAAGGGUAAUAAUUUGUCACUGGCUUUUUAGCAGUGACAUGUCUGGGAGAAGGGAUAUUCCUUUGAUCUGUCCUGGGUCAUCCAAAAUUAUUGCAUCAAUAAGUUAAUAAUUUCAUACUCCUUACCUUUAAUGCAUUCAAUUGGAUCAUCUCGGUAAAUUAUAAACGAGGUCUCGCCUAAGGCUUUCUAUUAAGGAUUAAUUUAUUGUUUAAAAACUGAAGAAAUGUAACAAACUUUAUUUAAAUUUAACGUCUUUAACAAGACGUCGGUUUAACUAAAACGUGACUUUUUUUCCAUUGUAUAUUUAUUAGAAAACACAAGAACGUUUAAUUUUUAGGAAAAUUUAAAGAAUAAACUGUUCAGGAACUUCUAUCCAUCAAAAUGCAUUGCAACAGGUAUAAGUGACACUCAAAUUACAUUUGUGUUUGUCCUUUUGUGAUUUAUUUCAUUGCACUUAUUUUUUACUUGUUAUAUUUUUUACUUCGUAUGCACAAUUGUUGCACUUUUGUUUACUUGUUAUAUUUUUUACUUCGUAUGCACAAUUGUUUUUCUUGGUGGUUUUGCAUGUCUUUUCAUUUUCUUAUUAAUAAUUAACUAACCUCACAAAAGGAUAAACGCAAUUAUAUC